UACGGAGGAGGCAAGCGUUAUCCGGAAUUAUUGGGCGUAAAGUGUCCGUAGGUGGUUGGCCACGUCUGCUGUUAAAGGGUGGGGCUUAACCUCAUAAAGGUAGUGGAAACUGGCGAGCUAGAGUGCGGUGGGGGUAGGGGGAAUUGCCAGUGUAGCGGUGAAAUGCGUAGAGAUUGGGGAGAACAUCGGUGGCGAAAGCGCCCUGCUGGGCGCGUACUGACACUGAGGGGCGAAAGCUCGGGGAGCGGAAGGG
rnacentral:rRNA from 1 species